AUUACAUUAUGUCAGGGGCUAUAAAGUAUGUUUGUUGUAAAGUAUUAAAUUCCUCUCUUAAACUUCAAAUACACACAAUAUCAAGGAUUUUAAACAUAAUCCUUAGUAACUAAGUACUAUAUCUAAAUACUACAUCCAAAUACUGUAUCUAUUUAAACACAACACUAAUUUUGGGGGAAAAAAGCAAAAUUUGGGGGGAAAAAAAGCAAAAACCUUAUAGCUAAUUGUAUAAAAGCGCAUCACAGAAGGGGAACUACAAAAAGUGCAACAGACCAGGGAGCUACAAUAGCUACUUUCCUACUCUAAAUAAACCACAUAAAAAUAAAAGAGGCUAUUUAUUUGUAAUUCUAUUCACACUGGUGAUCUAGUAAUGUAAAUCAUAGCUUUCAUUUCAUUAAAAUCAUUUUACUCAAACAAAAGUUCCAAAGAAAUUUUCUUGCAAGAAUUUCAAAUUCUUAUAUUACAAAAAGUCAAGGCACUUGAACUGAAAACAAAAUAUGAAAAUAACAAAAGAAAAAGUAAUAUGGGUGGAGAUAGUAGUGUACUUACUUUUUUUUUUUUUUUUGAGACGGAGUCUCGCUCUGUCGCCCAGGCUGGAGUGCAGUGGCAUGACCUCGGCUCACUGCAAG
rnacentral:lncRNA from 1 species